UCAGACUGGCAUGCACCUGUGACUUACAUAAACCAGACCUCUACAUAGCCUACAUGUCUUCAUUUUGCUGAAGACUGCCCAUCAUCCUAGCCUGUUAUCUGUGAUAAAGCACACUGAAGUUAGGUUUGGAAUGCAUCCUUAUCAUGAAUGCUCUACACCUCCACCUCCAUCUCCCACAACCUAGGUAACAGCUUUGAGACUCACUAAAAGUUGAGUCCCCUGAAUGAUGUAGGCUAUGGGGCCACAUAAGACUUUGUCCAUCCAGGGUUACAUUGAACGACAACUUUAAACUAAAAAACCAACAUUUUUCACACAACUCCAGGUUGUUACUAACAAAUUACAAGUGUCAUCAAGGGAUAACUACAAGUAGAAGCACCAUUUUUGGAUGGAAAAAACCCUUCAGGAAAGUAUACGUAUCAAAUGUAACAUGUAGUGUAACA